rnacentral:rRNA from 1 species
GACAGAGGGUGCAAACGUUGUUCGGAAUUACUGGGCGUAAAGCGCGUGUAGGCGGUUUUGCAAGUCGGGUGUGAAAGCCCUUGGCUCAACUGAGGAAGUGCAUUCGAAACUGCAAGACUUGAGUCCUGGAGAGGAUGGUGGAAUUCUCGGUGUAGAGGUGAAAUUCGUAGAUAUCGAGAGGAACACCGGUGGCGAAGGCGGCCAUCUGGACAGUGACUGACGCUGAGACGCGAAAGCAUGGGGAG